AAAAAUGUUAAAUUUAGAUGGAGACAAUCCAGAAAUGCUGCCAGGAAGUGAUCGAUUUCGGACACGAAGAUAUAGGCGAGUGUGCGGUCAAGGUCAAAAUUGCGAGAGGGUGAUUCGAAGUGAAAUACCGCAACAAAAACGUUCGAUUUGGACAUUAACGUGUCUAACUGAAUGAGUCAUAAUGUUUCUACCACAAGAGUUGUAAAUAUUGAACACAAAGGGCUUCAUCUU